rnacentral:rRNA from 1 species
CACGUAGGCACCAAGCGUUAUCCGGAUUUAUUGGGCGUAAAGAGCUCGUAGGCGGUUCGGUAAGUCGGGUGUGAAAACUCUGGGCUCAACCCAGAGAGGCCACCCGAUACUGCUGUGACUAGAGUGCGGUAGGGGGGCGGGGAAUUCCUGGUGUAGCGGUGAAAUGCGCAGAUAUCAGGAGGAACACCAGCGGCGAAGGCGCCGCUCUGGGCCGUAACUGACGCUGAGGAGCGAAAGCAUGGGUAGCAAACAGG